rfam:Oryza brachyantha chromosome 7, whole genome shotgun sequence.
UCCUAUGACGGCAUGGAAUCUUUUGAGACCUGAUAAUCUUGUGAUGACAAACAUAAGCAUACUUUCUGAGGAC